UCGCAUGUAGUAGUAAAAAAUUAUAGUGACGUUGAACAAGUGCGCUAAAGAAAUGUUAACUCGAAGUUACUAUUCCUUCAAAAAGGUUUUCCACCGUCUCAGAGCCCCUUCAGAAGAUCUGAAGAACGUUCGCCGGAACAGCACAAAGAAUGAGUCAACAAUCAACCAACAUACUUCGGUUCCAGGUUCGUGUUCACAGGAUCCACAUCAGGUAUUUUCGGCCAACAUUUAUAAUGGGAUUAAUUAACUACUUUUCCAAACAAUUACUACCAUCUUACCUACUGACCGGAUGUAUGGUGUUACUGUCAAUUGAUUUAAAGUUUUUUUAUUUGUUUCCCUUGUGAACUUGCGCGCUAGCUGCAGGGUCACUGACCAGAGGUUGAAGUCUCCGAAUUAUUCAAGACGACAAGUGGUUGCAGUAGCGUGGACUCGGUAAGUUCCUAAAUCCCAGACGGACGGUACAGUACUGCUUGACAACGAACACACAAAUACUCAAGGAAAAAACUUGUUCCGUUUCGUCAAACAAGGGAUCUGCUGUGCCUUUGGCAACCCAGCAACGUGAAAAUAGGCGGAAAGCAUAUCCGUCUCAUGCUUUGCAAGGCUAGUUAUACGUCUUUGAAGUUGAAAUUGAACAACUUAAAAUAUAAAUUAUUUAAGAUGGAAAUACUAAGCUUCUGGAUAAUGUUUAAAUGAAUAAUUUCUACAACCGUAGCAAAAUCUGUCGUUGUCGUAAACUGAUUAUUUUGAAAUAAUUGGGGGUAACGUCUUUGUUUUCCAUACAUUUUACUGGCGUAUUUAUAUUCGUAAUUAUUUCAAAGUAAUAAUUUUAUGACAGCGGCAAGUUUUUGCUUUGUUUGUAGAAAUUUGUUCAAAUAAAAAUUAUCUUGACGCUCAGUUUUACAUAUAAAAAAACAUUUUCUAUUAUUUGCAAUAAGAAAUGCAUUCUACCAAUUUUGAAGUUGUACAUCAACCUUGGGAAACACGCGUUAAAGUGGUUUUAUUAUCCUAUUCUUUCUUACUGUCUUUAAAGUUCACGUUUGGAAUAAACUAAUGUGUAAGUAUGUUUUUAUUUUAAAAAGUCUAAAAAUUUAACACCACUAAAGUUCAUUUGCGUGCUUCACUUUUUGUGGUUUUAUUUAUUGCUGUAAGAAAGGUUUAUGUUGAAAGUAGACAAUUAAUGUGCCUUUACUGAAAAUUUACCAAAAAUCCUCAUGGCUACGAAAAUCUCUAUUUGAAUAAGAACUUUGUAUUUCCAGAAGAAACCUGCCUGUGUAUAGUGAUUUGCAUUAUUUACUUUUAUUUCUCGUUUGGUACUGUAAGUAGGUAUAGAAGACCUAUUAUUAUUUGACCCACAUUGUUAGGACAUUUUCUGGAAAAUAUUGAUACCAAUCUAUAUGUAGCUACUCUUAAUACAAGAAAACAGUUAUCUACACAGUAUUUACACAAAAAAAAUUUAAUCAUUAGCCAUGAAUAUUUUUUUUAAUUAAAUUUUUUUCGUGAUGAACCUGCAGUCGAAACUUGUAGGUAGAAUUCUGACUUACUUUUUUUUCGAUACUAAACUAGCGUUGCAUCCACUCAGGAAAAUCAUGCACUUGUAAGUAUUGAUUUCAUGCAAGGAGUUUAACACCAUUUGAGAAAUUGGACCUGUAUUUCAAUUGAAACACUUUUAUCUGCAUCCCCAAUUUCAGUUGCAAAUGGCGUCUGAGACUCAGGUUCGCCAGCUACGAUUCUGGCUGGAAUACACUCAGCAAGGCUUUGCGGUCGAGCAACCUUAAAGGUGUGCUCUACAAUCAUUUUGAGACUCAGCCCGUACAAAUUUAAAAUUAAAUUCGUACCGCGCACAAAGUUGUGGCUAAUAACAUAACCGUACUGAGGCUACAAAUUUAGCGAAUAGUUACUUCAUUGUAAGAGACACCUGUAUUUUGCGAAAAAUGUUUCGUGUGAUUUUGUUUUCAAUUUAUUGUAGCCUUUUCUUGGCGUUACUGUUGGUAGAAUAUGGCAAUGCUACUUUCGGACGAAAAAAAGGAUUUGCACUAUUACAGUAACCGCGUUUUCAUUGCCGGAAUUGUUCCUUCCAACCGACCUUAGCCAAAACUAAAAAAAAAAAACCCUAAACAUUAUUAUAGUGAAUAUAAGUCUAACAAUUUGUUAAUUUUUCCCGUGCAAUAAACAUGUAUCUAUUCAUUAGACGCUUCGGGACUCAAGCAUCCUUCUGGAAUGAAUUUUCAAAUAUGUUAAAUUUUGGGGGAACAGUUUAAAAACUACAUACCUACGAUAUAUUACCUUAACCUUUAACCUUGCCCAAAAAAGGAAAAUAAGUUAUGCAGCGUACCAUUAAACUAAUUUUUAAUCAUCUUAAACUAUGUGCCUUAGUAAUAGAUAAUAACUUAGCAUGAAGUUGUGAAAACAACUGCAAAUCCGUGGGAUAUCUCUUAGAAAUGCUCUAAAAUGAUUCACAAUCCAUUCCAUUUCCAUCCAUUGUUUACUGGUAAAUUUCCAUUGAUUUGCAGUUAUUUUAACACUUCAUUAAAUAUAGAAUAAGUUUAAUUUUACAUUAAUGUUGCCAUACAAGCAUACCUAGGAAGUAAUUUGCUGCAUUUUAUUCACAAACAUGAUAAAUUAGAUGCAGUCUUUGACUAUGACUAACGUUCAAUUAUUGAGUAGUUGAAUAUUUUUAAUCGACUUUAAUCAAAUUUUAGCUUGAAGAGAAAAUAUGUACAUUCUGGAUUCGUGUAAUGAGCAUGACAUAUUUCACAAAAAAAAUUAAAUUAAAUUUCGGUGUUUAACUUAAAAUUGUUCUGGUAACUGCAAUCUAUCAUAAUAAUUCAGCAAAAUAAAUAACCAUAAAAUUAUCCAUAUUUAAUUAUUUAAAAGUAAAGACAUAUCAGACAAAAACAGGUUGUCAAAGAUCUGUAGCUAAAUUACUCAAGUAUGACUUAGACUAGAGCGUGAAUACACUAGGUGAUAAAUGUACAGGUAUGUACAGGUAAAAGAACUCAGCUGAAGAAUGUUAGUUCAAGGAAGGAUUUGUUAGACGAAGAAGUAACGAAACGAAGAUGGUCAGGAUGGCACCUUAUUUUGAGUGAUUUGUUUUGUGUUUUUUUUUGUCAUUGUGUUCGAAAAUACCCGAAAACCACCUGGACAGAAUAACUGAAGAAAAUUUUUUUUUUCCUGUCGUCAUUUCCCGUCCUUCUCAUUUCGCGUGUGCUCUACAUGGCAUUCGUGUUCUGGUCGCUGACUGUUACGCGUUACGCCCAAGUGACGCCGACGUUUCCAGAAACGACCAAGUCGAACGGGUGACGAAA